rnacentral:tRNA from 1 species
GCACCUCUCCUCUCCCUAAUAUCCGGUAGAGCACCUGCUUGCCAUGCAGGAGGUUGCGGGUUCGGGUCCCGUCUAUCGGUCCA